AACGAACGCUGGCGGCGUGCCUAACACAUGCAAGUCGAGCGAGAAAGUCCCCGCAAGGGGAUGAGUAAAGCGGCGAACGGGUGAGUAACACGUGGGCAACCUGCCCUUUAGUCAGGAAUAACCCCGCGAAAGCGGGGCUAAUACCGGAUAACGUCCUCUGGGGGCAUCCUCGGGGGACCAAAGGGGGCGAGCGAAAGCGGCUCCCGCUGAAGGAUGGGCCUGCGGCUGAUUAGCUAGUUGGUGGGGUAGCGGCCUACCAAGGCGACGAUCAGUGGCCGACCUGAGAGGGUGACGGGCCACACUGGGACUGCGACACGGCCCAGACUCCUACGGGAGGCAGCAGUGGGGAAUAUUGCGCAAUGGGCGAAAGCCUGACGCAGCGACGCCGCGUGGGUGAUGAAGGCCUUCGGGUCGUAAAACCCUGUCGGGUGGAACGAAUCCUGCUUCGCUAAUACCGGAGCGGUUUGACGGUACCACCGAAGGAAGCCCCGGCUAACUACGUGCCAGCAGCCGCAGUAA
rnacentral:rRNA from 1 species